CCCCCCCCAAAAUAUUCUAUGACUUAAGUAAAGACGAUUGAAAACCUUACAGGAGCUAUACCAUGUACCGCAAGGGAAUGAUGAAAUAAAAUGAAAUAACAGCAAGCACAAAAAAGUAGAGGUUGUCACUCGUACCUUUUGCAUCAUGGUUUAACUAGUCUAACCAAGCAAAAAGACUUUUAGUUUGACCCCCCGAAACUGAGUGAGCUACUCCAGGGCAGCUUAUUGAGCGAACCCGUCUCUGUUGCAAGAGAGUGGGAAGACCCUGAAGUAGAGGUGACAGACCUAACGAACCCGGUGAUAGCUGGUUACUCAAGAAAAGAAUUUUAGUCCAACCUAAAGUAACUCAGUAAACUCAAAUAUAUCACUUUAGAGCAAUUCAAAUAAGGUACAGCCUAUUUGAAAAAGGAUACAACCUAUAAUGGCGGGUAACCUACGCAUACCGCAGCCAAGUGGGCCUAAGAGCAGCCACCUUAAAAAAGCGUCAAAGCUUAACUUCGCCCCCCCCCACCUAAUGCCCCCAUUAGCACGGAACCCCCACAACACUAUUGAGUACUUCUAUAUUCUUAUAGAAUUUUUUAUGUUAAAACUAGUAACAAGAAAACAUUUCUCUUACAAUGCGAGUGUAAGUCAGAACGGAUCACCCCACUGAUCACCACACACCCCCAAACAGCACCCCCC
rnacentral:rRNA from 1 species